GGGCGGAAGAGAGAAAACAGGAACAGGAAGUCAGCCAGCCUCUCAGGAGAGGAACCGUUCUUCUCAGUGAAGAACAGCUUCCAGAAGAUCACUAGCAAGCCCCCCUUCCAAGCCUCUCUGACGAACACCUGCAAUGACAGGGAAAAAAAACUCAGGGAUGAACAGGCUGUAGACAGGAUCUCCAGGGAAAAGUGGAAUCCAUUUGUGAAAAUGACAGAAGUUCCUCGGUACACAGAGGCCAAGGCAGAAGUAACUAGUCAAUCCCCGUCAGGCCACCGUGACCUGGGCUGGUGUCACAUCCCUGGGGCCUGAGCAGGCCUGCGUCUGGAAACGACUCUCAUGGGACUGACGGAGGCUGUGCCAGCAAAUGAGGCCCCCUUGGACCUGUACUGCCCCCUCCCCUCUUGAUGGGACCACAAUCUCCAGAUCCAGGCAGGUCCACAAAGAGCCACAAGAAGCCCAGGACACCCAAAGAUCUGUGCGUCCCUCUGGACUGGAAGAGCUUCGUAAAGUCACCUGGUCUCCCCUCCUCCUGGCCUGGUGCUGGGGUCCCACCUCCACCUUCCUUCCUGAGAGUCGCCCCCACCUACGGAGGAGGUGCUCCCUCAGCAGAGCGGUUUUCCAGGUGCGGAGAUUUCUCCAUGGGGGUAAGGGGAAAGGGAAGAAGGAAUGAGACCCUGGACCCUGGGCGUUUCUUCUGGCACAUUCCCCUCUCCUUGACAACCCAGGAACAGGACAUCCCUGAGGCUCUGUCUGCCCAGGUAUCCGGACCUGGGUGUGAAGCAGUGCUGCCGCCUUGUGGCCUUUCCCCAUAACUACAACUUUAAAACCCCCACUUAAGGACAUUUCCUGUUCAUCAACCCUGCAAGGACUGGAAAGGACACCUACCUUCAAGAAAUGUACUGCAGCAGGCUACGAAAAAAUAUUCAACACAGGGCCAACUUUCAAAAAGCCAACUUCAAAAGCAGGCAAGGCUUCUGGUGUGUCCUGGAGAGGAGACGAGGUGGGAUUAACAGUGAGCCCUUUGUCCACCUGGAAGGUUCUGAUUGAAAAACUCCAAGUUCAAGGCGGGAUCAACUGCAGUGAUCUUAGGGUUAAGAGUCUGAAAAGGUCAGUGGUGUGGAGGAAGGGAAAUAAUGAUAUAUAUAGUGGUGGGGUUUAAUUGCUCAGUUGUGUCCGACUCUUCUGCAACCCCA